GAAUCUUCCGCAAUGGGCGAAAGCCUGACGGAGCGACACUGCGUGAACGAAGAAGGUCGAAAGAUUGUAAAGUUCUUUUAUAAAUGAGGAAUAAGCUUUGUAGGAAAUGACAAAGUGAUGACGUUAGUUUAUGAAUAAGCCCCGGCUAAUUACGUGCCAGCAGCCGCGGUAAUACGUAAGGGGCGAGCGUUGUUCGGGAUCAUUGGGCGUAAAGGGUGAGUAGGCGGAUAUGUAAGUCUAUGUGUAAAAUACCACAGCUCAACUGUGGAACUAUGCUAGAAACUGCAUGACUAGAGUCUGAUAGGGGAAGUUAGAAUUCCUGGUGUAAGGGUGGAAUCUGUUGAUAUCAGGAAGAAUACCAGAGGCGAAGGCGAACUUCUAGGUCAAGACUGACGCUGAGUCACGAAAGCGUAGGGAGCAAACAGG
rnacentral:rRNA from 1 species